rnacentral:rRNA from 1 species
AUUGAACGCUGGCGGAAUGCUUUACACAUGCAAGUCGAACGGUAGAGGGGGCAACCCCUUGAGAGUGGCGAACGGGUGAGUAAUAUAUCGGAACGUGCCCAGUCGUGGGGGAUAACGUAGCGAAAGUUACGCUAAUACCGCAUACGAUCUACGGAUGAAAGCGGGGGACUCGCAAGAGCCUCGCGCGAUUGGAGCGGCCGAUAUCAGAUUAGGUAGUUGGUGGGGUAAAGGCUCACCAAGCCAACGAUCUGUAGCUGGUCUGAGAGGACGACCAGCCACACUGGAACUGAGACACGGUCCAGACUCCUACGGGAGGCAGCAGUGGGGAAUUUUGGACAAUGGGCGAAAGCCUGAUCCAGCCAUUCCGCGUGCAGGAUGAAGGCCCUCGGGUUGUAAACUGCUUUUGUACAGAACGAAAAGGUUUCUACUAAUACUAGGAGCUCAUGACGGUACUGUAAGAAUAAGCACCGGCUAACUACGUG